CAUUAGGUGAUGUUGCUUGCUCUGGAAUUUAUAGUCACUCCUUGAGAACUUUGGCAUCUGGAAGACUUCAAUUCUGAUACUUAAAGUACGGAAAAGUAGGGCUGUAUUUUGUAAACAACAGCUUUCAGAUAUGGCCUCAUUUGAGAUAUUUUGGUCUUCCCAGCAAGCAACAAGGACUAGAAGCAAAUAAAUUUACAGCUUGUGGUCACCAACAUUCAGAAGAAAUAUAAUUGGAAUUUCAGACAUAUAAAUAUUGACUAGAAAAAAAAGAGACAAAGUAAACUGCAAGAAAAUGGAACUUUCUCAGUAUAAAGCCUUUUAAAAUUUCACUUCAUAAUUCUUUGGGGUUCAGGACAAGUUCAUUCUAAGUGGAUGUGCAUGGCGUUAUAUGGUAUCAACCAGCCACUUCAGAACAGUAGUUUGAAUAUUGCACUGAAAAAAAGAGGAGCUGAGGCAGAAAAUAAAAAGCAAAGCAACAAACUUUGGCUUGGUAGAGUAUAACAAAGGAGAUGUUUCUGGGGUUUUUGCUUGUUAAUACAAGAAAAUCAGCACCACCAACAUCUUGCAGAAAAGGGCCCCCUUACUGGUUGUACCAUUGGAGUGACAGUAAUGUUGCAAACUUUCCACACCUUUCAAUGUAGGUGUAGGCUAAUGCUUUAAAGCAGGGGUGUUAAACUCGAUUUCAUUGAGGGCCGCAUCACGGUUGUGUUUGACCUCGGGGGUGGAAUGGGCGUGGCCAGGGUGGGCAUGGCCAGCUUGAUGUCAUUCAUAUCAGGAGCACCUGUGGCAGCCCUAGUGCUCUGCCAGUGGAAACGGGCUUCCAAUCUCCAUUUUUGACCAGAUCCGGCCCAUGGGCCUUGAGUUUAACACCCCUGCUCUAAAGUUUCUAAUUUGUAAAUUAUUUCCUUCUUUCUUUUUGGUAAUGGAUGUUUUUGCCUGGGAAAAUUGACAAACUGUGAGAAAAUAAAGGAUUUGAUUCAGUUAGACAAAGCAAAUUUGCAGCACUCCUUUGCGUUGCUAAGGAUACGUUAUUGAAAUCUCUUCCCAUGCUUUUUUCAAAUAUUAAGAUACAUAUGGAUAAAUUAUGUUGUUCUUUAAUAACAUGUUUUGUGUAUAUAUAUUUUAAUGACAUCUCAGAAUGCAAUUCUAUUUAAAUGUCCAUAAUUUUCAGUCUUGAAAAUACCAUUUCAGUGUCGGUUUAAUUGUGACCAGUUCAUUUGUUGCUGGUGACCAGGCCCAUGACAGUUAACUUGGCUAGAUCCAAGUUAAUUACUUAUAAAUAUCUUAUAUUUCAGAACAAACUCACCAUUUGUUCAUUCAUUUUAUUAUUUCAUUUUUACACGCAGUCAGUUUUUGUUCUAAUAGUUUCUCAUCAAUACAACACAAUGCUUUUCUCUCAAAUGUUUGCAGCAUUAUAAUUAAAUUAUAGUAGAAUUUGACGAAGUAUUUUGAUACUCUAAGCCAAAUCCAGCGUUAGGAACACUCGGUGUACUCUGGAAGAAAUAACUGAAUGCAAUGUGCAGCACAAUUUUAUCUCUAAUUGUGAAGAUGCUUUUUUUAAAAAAUUUCAGACUUUAAAAGAUGGUCUGAUGCACCAAUUCAUCAUAACAAAAUACACGGGGAUAGCUAGGGAACAAACAGAGAAAAGUUAUUUUCAAUAGUAGAUUCUAUGCACUCCAAAGAAAUUCACCUGGGCUAAUAUUGACAUUAAUUUAAAGCAAAGGAAGCUUCUUUUUCAUAUACUUGUGUGUUUUCUCAAAGAAUCAAUAAAGGGUAGUAGACAAAUAUUUAAAAUAAACAGAUCAUUCAUACAGGGAGGGAGGAAUUAAUUCAACAAAAAAAACCAAGGGGAUUAGUAGUAUAUGCAGCCUCUUAUAUAGAGGAAAAAUCAGACAAAUGAGACUUUUAUAGGAAAAUUGGGCACAAAAGGAGAAAAUUGACCAAAUAAACCCAAUCUUGUUAUAUAUUUCAAAUGAUAUACAUAAAACAAGAAUUGAUUAGUUAUAUUCUAUACAUUGGAAACUCUGAUCACUACUUGGAAGAAUUGGCCACUGGAUUAGUUCUGAGGAUUCUAACUUUUGUUAUGGAUAUCUUACACCUUUCAUAAAUCUAAAUAUUAGCUUUUACUUUCUUUCUGGUGUCUUACUGUAGCUUGCUUUUUGUAGAUUUUGUGACCUGGUUCGCCAUCUUCAGAAUUCUAGAACACUGGGCUAUAUUCAUUUUGAAAGGUUAAUGCAGAAGUAACAACAGAAUCUAAUAAAGUUAACAAAAUGGUCCUAUCAUUUGGAUAGUUUUAAAUUACCAGGGGAUUAUGUUAUUUUAUGUAACUCAUGCACUGGUGGAAAUAGUGUUACAUUUGUUCUAUGUGCAACAUUUGGCCUUAUAUAUCAAAUUUAUAUAAAUUUCAAAAUAAAUAAAUAAUGGAACUACCUUGAUAAUAUAGGAAUGUAUGAUGCUUAUAUUAAAAACAACCUGACUAAAAAAUGGUUCAAAUUGCUAAUUCCAAACAAAAUUUUCAAUUGAAGUGCCAAAAUAAUUUGACAUAUUCAGUUGAAUCAAGUUACGUCAUAAUGAUUGGAAACUUUGAUGUGCUUUUGGUAUGUACAUGCGCAGACAUUCUUAUCAACUUGAAUAUAUUUUCAAAUAAAAUCUACUUGAUUUGACAAUUGAAGUUGAUGAAGUGAACUAGCUCAACUUGACUCAGAACUUAAUCACAAAUUUGAAUAGAAUUAAUUGACUCUGAAAUGAAAUGGAAAUGGAAAUAAAAUCCAGGGGUUUCUUGCAGACAUCAGAAAGUGAUAAAUGGGGGCUUCAAGGAACUGACAAACCAUUUAGUUUAUCAUCUUUCACUACUGUCUUUUUGGAGUGGGACAAUUAAGUUAUUGAGUGAUUUAUUUGAGUAUAUCUAGGAUUCAGUGCAGUUUCUCAUAAAGAAGAGAAUACAAAAGAAUACCCAAAGGAUAACUGAUGACUUGACAACCACAUCAGCUCUUCUGGCAAGAACUGUACAAUAUCCAUUAGAAAGUUGAAGAUGUAUCUCAUAAAUGUAUUUAUCUUUCAUUUUUUUAAAAAGAGUUGCAAGUGAUAUAUAAUGAUAACUGCCAUAAAUCUUAGAAGAUGAGGGCCUUUCUGUUUCGAGGUUGUAGUGGGCAGACAAAGGUAAAUAAGACAUUGUCAUUUUCUCUCAAGGAGAAAAUCUACCUAUAUCAAAGUUUCUCAACCUUAGCAACUUUAAGAUGUGUGGAUUUCAACAUUGCUGGCUGGGGUAUUUUGGGAGUUGAAGUCAUUAAAGUAGCUUAAAGUUGCUAAGGUUGAAAAACACUGACCUAUAUGGUCACUAAGAGUUGAUGGCAUAUAAUCAAUUAAUCAUUCUCACAUCAGUUUUUACUAUAAUGUUAGGCAAUAUGAGAAAACUACACUGGGACUCUUAGACCGGUAGUCUACAGAUAGCAAGGGAUAAUGAUUAAAUCCCUUUUUCAUUUUUUAAAAAAUAGAAAUCAAAAAAGUUUGUAGGUUUCCUAUAAGGGAGACAUUGACUUGAAACUUUUUCAAUAUGCUUCAUAUGAGUUAGAGACAAUCCUGUCAUAUUCAUUAUGCCUGUUGCCUUUGCUCUCUGUAGUCAUGUUAGUGAUAAUUAGACCUCUCAAAUUUUCACCACUAUCAGUUGUUUUCCUGGUACAUAAUCCUGAUUCAGGCUAUUCAUAAACAAAAGCGAAGCCUUAAUUUGGUGAACUUUGAUAGAACAAAUUUUGAAUGCAACAGACAAAAAUUUCCUUUUUUAUUCCAUGUUAAUAUUACCACAUUUGCAGUUAGAAAGCCAGCAACACAUUACAGUUUCAGAUUCUGAUUUAUGGACUUAAGGUAUAUUCAUAGAUACACCUGUCUAACGUCAUACUAAACUCCCCCAAAAUAAAUAAUGGCUUUCAACAUUUGAAAAGUGCUUUAAUAUGGAUCAACAUUUUUAAAGAGAACUUUACUCAGUUUUCAUUUACAACUCCAGUAGCAUACCAUCGCCUUGGUGGGGGGCCAUUAUGAUGACAUCCAUUCUCUCUCAUCAUCUUUCAAGGCAAAUUAAAAUUUGGACUGAUCCCAGCAGCAGCCUGUCUGAGGUAUGAUCUGCUGACACUAGUCUCACAGCAGGAGACCUUACAAAUGUUCCAUGCUUUGAUGGAAGCCUUCUCCUAGAUACAUUAGUUAAUAAAUAGACCUAACAGCCACAUACCUCAAAGUUCUUCCAAGAAAAAGUCUGAUUAAAUGAGGAGGAUAAAUGCUAUACUAAAUGUGUGGUAUUAAGGUCUUAAAUUUGGAUCAGUUUGAAUGAUACUCCAGUACCAAUUUGACCACAUACCAUAUUUUUCAGAGUAUAAGAUGCUCCGGAGUAUAAGACACAGCUUAGUUUUUGGGGAGAAAAAUAGGAGGGGAAUCUGCCUCCCAGGUAUUCAUUUGGCUAGUGUCCUUAGUCUGGUCAACUUCAGCACAUUAGUUUGCUGGUUUUUUAUCCCCUACUUGGGGAUAAAAAACAGCUUCUAAGGCACAGCUGAGAGGAAGCAGCAAUGAGAAAAGCAGGCAAAGCACAGGGGGAGAUCGCUUCACUCGGCUAGCACCAAGUUAAGGUUGAAAAAAAGCUUCUAAAGAACAGCUGAGAGUCGGAGCAAAGCAUGGAGAUCGCUUCACUCGCUAGCGCCUCAUUAAAGCACAGCAGAGAAUCGAGGGAGCAGGCAAAGCUGGGAAGAUAGCUUCACUUGCUAGUGCCUCGUUAGCGCCUCAUUAGGGCUGAAAAAAAGCUUUGAAAAAGCUACAUCGGAGUAUAAAACGCACCCAAAUUUUCAGCUUCUUUUAGGGGGGGAAAGAUGUGUCUUAUACUCCGAAAAAUACGGUAAUUUGCUCUGCAGAUAAUUUAUGCUGUAAUUCCUGCUUCUCAUUAUGUCUGUUAAGAAUAUCAGCAGCAUGUUUUGUGCUUUGAGGUAAUGAAUACGGCAAAGACCAGGGAAGGUGACAUAAGGAGAAGGUGAAUUUCUUACCAGGAUGUGCUGAUAUUGAAAUAGGGGCAUCUUGAUAUGGGCUAUUCAUUGUGGGCAGAAUUUUUAAGCAUAAAAGGAAUAGCAUGCAAUGUAAAGAAACAUGCAACUAUUAUAUUGUAAGAUACAACAUUCAAUGGUCAUUUUUUGUUAUACUGGCCAUUGAAUAUUACAUAUGUUAAUAUGUUACAAUAUGUUAUUGCAUGCUGAGAUAAAAUCAUAUUUAAAAAACAUAAUGAAACAUCUCAUGGCACCUUAAAAAAUUGAAAAAUGGUCCUGGCAUAAGAUUUGCAUGUGUUUUUUUUCUAAAUCACACAAUUGAAAUUCCUUGGCUGAUGGAGUCUGUAGUAGGCCCCUUUUGCCAGAACAAGCGGGGUAGAUUAGUAUAAGUAUAAUUAUAACUAUAUUAUCGUGUUUCCCCAAAAAUAAGACCCUGACUUAUAUUUUUUUGAACCCUGAAAUAAGUGCUUGGCCUUAUUUUCGGGGAGAUCUUAUUAUUUUGGGGCAUGUAGAGCAAAAUGGGGCUCCUCUUGCCAUCUUAUCUGAUUUCCAGCUCUGCGUUUAAAUGUUUUCAGGGAUGCCUUAUUUUUGGGGAAACGGGGUAUUAUAUUGCUAAAAGGCAUGUUCUUUGUGGACUUGUCUAGUUCCAAAUAUAGUCUUAACUACAGAUCUUUACUGUAAUUGCAGGACAUAUUAUGAAUUCAUCUGGAAGAAUUAAUGACUUUCCUGAGUACUUCUGGCUGCCUCAGGAGCUAAACCUGUAUUUCCAGUCCUAGAACACCAAUCCCUAAAGCUUUAUGAUCGGAUCUAAGAGUCAGAAUUGGAGACUGGGAGAAGUCCUUUCCCAUGCUGCAGAUCAGUUAAAUCAAUAUUAAACCAUGGAUUUUCAAUGCAAUGCAAUUAAUGCAAAUUGAUUCGAUGCAAUUAAUAACACUGGAGACACGGCCAAAUAUAAAUAGUACACAUAAAUGCUAAGACAAAAAAAAAAGGAUUAGUUUUCAACCUUACAAUGUGGUGUUUAAAUGCUUACAGGCUUGUACCAUGAUUAAAUAUAUAUCUCUAACAUGAUUCUGAUAACCUGACAGAAAAUCAGAGAUGCAAGACUAUUUCUGGCAAAGAUGUGCCUCAGAAAACAAGAAGUCAACUAAGAGUUGCCUGGCAAUUUGCCACAAGCCUUUGAAUCACUGACCUUGAAAUGACACUCCUUUUCACGCUUCAGUUCCACUCAUCCUCAAUGGUGCUUAAUAUAUGAGCUGUGGGUUGGCCAUGAGGCUUUUCAUUAAAGUUGCCUGGCAAUUCCACCAAAGUCAACAAGCUCAGAGGAGAUCUUGGAAGAAACUUUGACUUUCAUUCAUGUGCUCCAUCAUUCUCUGGAAAACUAUUGCUACUGCACAUACAUAGCUUGACUCUUCUUUUUUAGAUCAAGCCUUGCAUUUGCAACUAUAAAAUUAAAUUCUGAAUAUUAAAAUCUGCCCAAUGUUAACCAUUAAAGGUUGCCACUGGCUUGCAUAAAUGCUGAAUUUUGCCCAUACAAUUUUGGUUUCCCUUUAUUUGUGGAGAUUAAAAUAUUUGGAUAAAACAACUUGUGCUGCAAUUAUAUUAAGCUGUUCUUUUCAAAAGCAUAAAACAUUCUAUAUUUAUGUUUUUCUUAAAUGCAUUAAUUUGCUUUAGUUCAAAUAUCAAAUCGUAAGUAUAAAUACCAUAUAUGCUGCGAUGUGAUUGUUUGAAAUCAAGCUACAAAUAAAAAGCCAUUUAUAUACAUUCAUUUUUUUAAAAAAUUAAAGGAAUCUUAUAAUGCUGAACUCUUUGCCAAGGAAUAACAUAUAUGUGUGUGUAUGUAGAUACAUUUUCGUCUAAAACUUUUGUCUGCUCCAAAUUUCUUCUUUUCAAUACAUUUGACACUUUCAGGACUAUAUGCACACGUAUCAAAUUUCAUUAAAGCAAAAGCAUCUAUGAAGUAGUUCAAAAGAAUAUCAUCCUCCAUUUUUUUUGCCCCCCAUCACUGCCACAAAAGCAUUUGGCCAUUCUAGGAAAUAGUACGUUGGACUGAAUAUUUUAGAGUUGUUUUGUCCUAUAUGGCAGUUUCCCUACUACUGUAUAUAGUGCUAAUAUUUUAGCAAAUCUGUCCAAUUUAUUUCAAUUAUUUUUUUUCAUAUCUUCAUCUACUAGCUUGAUUUGGUGCAUGACUUAGCUAAUUCAACAAAAAAGUAAUAAUAGUUUCAUAUGCAAUUCUGUAUUUUUCCUGAUUGUGCAUUUUCUGCAGGUGAUUUUUCUUUAUUACAAUGUAAUCAUUGUCUAAGAUAUUAUUGUUGGGUGCAGAGUGUUCAAGAAGUCAACAGAUGUGUUUUUAUAUAGAUUUUCAUAGCUAUAAGCUAAAUUACAAAAUUCUAAAAAAUAUAGAUUUUGGUGCACAUGUAUAUCGGAGGAAUAGAAGAAGUAAGCAAUCUGAUGUUGUCCAGAUGGUUUGAAUUUAAACACUCUUUAUCUUAUCUUAUUUAUCUUAUUAGUCCCAACAAUAUGGCUAAUGGCAAAAAAUUGGAAUUGCACCUUGAGAUCCAAAAGCAUCUGUAUUCUCAGCUAGUUAAAAUGUUGAAAAAUCAAAUAUGUACAUAGAAAAUCCCUUCCAUUCCUACUUGCAUCCUGCAUUUGCUGCAAGUAUGUAGCUUGUGGGGUUUGAGUUAGGAAUUCAUAACAGAAGCUUUGUUAUUCAUUCCCCUCCCUACCCCAAAUGUUGUUUACCUCUCUAUCAGGCCUGUGUAAGGUGGAAUUACUGUUGUUGUGGGGGUCCCAAAGAUGCUUUUUCAAGAGGCAACUGGACUUUCUUGUUUUUCUUUCACUUCUCAUCCAAGAAGCUUCUUUAUCUCUGACUGGAUUGUGCAGAAUUAAUCCACCAUCCAGUCAGAGCUGAAGAGGCCUCUUAGAUGUCUUCAAAGAAAAACAAGUCCAGUUGCCUCUUGAAAAAUCACCUUUGGGACAACCAUGACCUGGAUGAGUGAAAUUCUCCAUAGACGUAUGUUGUGGGACUAUCUUAAAUCUGAUUGAAGGAACAGUGCAAGCGUCACCAAACAGUGCAAGCAUCAAAAUGGAUAACUAUUCUUUGCUUUAUCAGGACUGGUAAUAUAAGACCAUGGAAAAACCAUGGAAAGUUCUGGAGGCAUUGCUUCAGUAUGGCUUGGCCAUGAUAAAGCUUUGAUAUAUACCUGAGGCUACUCAGGUUUAUGUAGCAACCUGAAAGGGCACUUUGAUGAGCUUUUGCAUAUCCUAAUGUGUGCCCUGCAAUCACAUGAGCCAUUAAUUCUAAAAUAAUAUUCUACUUGAGGAAAUUCAACUGAAUUCAUGGUAUAAAAUGCCACUUCGCACCAUGCUAUGUGAACCUAUCCCUUGUUUAUAUAUUAGUUUUCUAUUUUCUCUAAAAAAUAUUCCAACAAUUUUCCACAGUUGGCAAAGUCCCAAAAUAUAUUUAAAAAGAAGUAUGAAAUCUGUUUAUAGCCCCACACAGUUAUGGGUUUACCAAUCCCUGCCCCUUGCUUGCCUUCCAUCUCUUAAUCACACUGCGGUUUCCACCCCAAAAAUAAAUCACUGAUGACUGAUAAAUCAUGAGUGGAGAAUGAGUGGGGAAGUGGACCUAUCUCCCAUUCUGUAUAAUUUAUUUAUUUAUUUUAUUUAAAUUAUUAUGUUUAUAAUGUGCAAACCUAGAAGAGGUAGAGACAAUUUUUCAUAGGGAUCAGAAAUGUGAAAUGGCAUUUUUUCCUAUGUUAACUCUUAUAAUAAAUUAAUCAUAAGCAGUUAAUCAGUGACCCAGUCAUGAAUAACAUUAAUAAUAAAGUUACAUUGGUUUAAACAAAGCUUUCUUCCAUAUUGGUACAAAGCAGGAAGGAAUCCACAAGCCUGGGCUUCACCAACUGCUGGAAAUCUGAUUCUUGAAGACCAUCAGGGCUCAUCACAGCUAACCGUCGUAAAGCUGCCUACGAGAAAAUGUGAUGACACUUUUAAAAUGUUAAUGACAAUUAGAAUGAACCAUGCUUUAGACAAUGCUAUAUAAAUCUAUUUGAGAACAGACUCAUAUUCUGAAGUUCAGUGAAAGUUCCUUGUGCUGUUUACCUCCCAGUGAAGGCUAAAUCUAGUGCUAUGCAUAUAGUAGCUCGGUCAGUUGGUUCACUUGAAUUAAUUAGAAAUGGGCAGCAAUUGUUUACGAGAAUCCAGAAGGCAGGGGAGGAAAGGGCUUAUCUCUGAGUUCCUCAACUUUGCCCCCCACGGAAUGCUGCCCUUCCCUAACAACAUUUGUUUGCUUGUUUUAAAUGUAAUUGCUAAUACAAAUGUUAUUUUAAUUAAAUAAAUUAAAAGGAUUACUUUUUUUCACAAAAGAGAACUUUUCAAAUCACUUGGGUCCUGCAGGUCAUAAAUGUUACCUUUAUUUGUAUCUACUAGAUUCAUUUAUAUAGAUCAUAUCUUGCAGAGGUGGUAUUCAGAAGAUUCUGACCAGUUCUGGAGAACAGGAAGCAGAAAUUUUGAGUAGUUCAGAGAACCGGUAAAUACCACCUCUGACUGGCCCCGCCCCCAUCUAUUCUCUACCCGCGAGUCCCAGCUGAUUGGGAGGAAAUGGAGAUUUUGCAGUAACCUUCCCCUGGAGUGGGUUGGGAAUGGAGAUUUUACAGUAUCCUUCCCCUGCCACGCCUCACCAAGCCACACCAUGCCCAUCAAGCCACGCCCACAGAACCGGUAAUAAAAAAAAUUGAAUCCCACCACUUAUAUCUUGUUGAGACCCUCUUCAUAGAGUUUGAGAGGUAGGAUUGAUCAGGAUGUUUUUUGGUGCCUUAGGCAAAGAAAAGAUCCACAAUUACCAUAACAAUGACCAAACCUCCAGGUACAUCUUACUUCCAAAUUAGUAAUUUUCUAGCAUUUACCAGUAACUGAAGCUAUCAAGCACCUUAACUCAGGCAGGAAAGUCAAAUGGUGGCACAGUCAAGAGCAUUAGUGACCCAGUGGUUAGAAUACAGUAUUGCAGGUUAGCUCUGCCCACAGCCUGGAAUUUGAUCCUGAUGGGCUUAAGGUUGAUUCAGCCUUCCAUUCUUCAAAGGUCGGUAAAAUGAGAGCCGAUUGUUGGGGGCAAUGUGCUGAUCUUGUAAACUACUCAGAGAGUGCUGUAAAGCACUAUAGAGUAGUAUUUAAGUCUAAGUGCUAUUACUACUGUUAUUGCCAAAUGGUACAUUAAGGUUGGUCUUCCAGCAUUUCCUGACAUCCCUACAUAUUCAGGUGAGGCAACUGUCCAAUAGGAGAGCCAGAUCUGACAGGCGGACAUGCUAUUUCAUGAUUCAUAAUCUCUUUUCCUUUUUAUGCUACUUCCUACAAGAAAGUUAAUGAAGAAUAGAUUUAUAUUGGAGCAGGCCAACAUAAUGCUCAGAAUCUGCCUGCUUUCCCUUCUGAACUAAAGUCAUCAUUGCACCUCCAUUCUUUUUACAGCCAAUAUAUUUAAAGGUAAAGGUAAAAGUUCCCCUCGCAAAUAUGUGCUAGUCGUUCCCAACUCUAGGGGUUGGUGCUCAUCUCCGUUUCAAAGCUGAAGAGCCAGCGAUGUCCGAAGAUGUGGUCAUGUGGCCAGCAUGACUAAAUGCCAAAGGCUCACGGAACGCUGUUACCUUCCCACCAAAGGUGAUCCCUAUUUUUCUACUUGCAUUUUUUACGUGCUUUCGAACUCCUAGGUUGGCAGAAGCUGGGAAAAGUAACGGGAGCUCACUCCAUUAUGGGGCACUAGGGAUAUAUAUAUAAUGUAUUUAGGAACCCACAUAAAGUAACUUCAGCCUAUCCCUCACUUGGGUUGCAUUAAUUAUAUGUCAGCAUUUUCUACAGCAACAAUUCUAUACUUCAAAUUCCUUGGCUUAAUGAUGGAAUGGAAAAUGGCUUGUUCUCAGUAAACGAACAAGCAAACAAAUUGAAUCAUUUAAAGAAAGAAAUACAAUUUUAAAAUUUAAACCAUGUUAUAUAAAGGUGUUCCAUGCCCCAAACCCCCAAUGCAUUUUCUAGUAGAAGGCAGUUUUGUUUCUAGAGACUUUGUGCCAAUGAAGGAUUCUGAAGGUGAAUCAUGGAUUUAUAAUGUGACUUUAGGCAAGCCUAAAAUUAAGAUAAAAAUUAUUUGUGUGCAAUUAUUAAUAUAUAACUGCUUUUAUUUUGAUGGAUGUCUGCAAGUUUAUGACAUUACAAAUAAUAAAUCAUCUGAUUUCCAGCCAUGUGGAGACAAAAAAAUUGAAUGCAAAUCUCUUUUGCAGAAACAAAUAUUGCUUACUUAUCUUCAUUAAAAUAAGGCAGCUGUUUCAGAAAUUAUUUUACCAUAUUAUGAGAUGGGAAGUUGCAGAAGGCUAGAUAUCCCUUGUAGCAAUCAGACAAAAUAUAUUUUCAUUGAAAAGAAAAUGAUCUCAGACUACUAAGCUUUAAGAUUUUAACUUUGAAAACCUCCAUUGCUGAUACUCUCCUGAAGGAAUAUUUGUCUAAAAUGGACAGGUUUUAACGGACAGAAAAGAGCCAGAUCACAAUAAAACUUGUAGAUACAAUUUAGGAUGUCAAAUGUGCUCAAAAGAUUAGUAUCUGAUGUUAUGAAAUAUAUGUUUACUUCAUUGGUAACCACAAUAAAGUUUAUUUUCUCUUUUUUAAAAACUUAUAUGUCCCUGUGGAAAAUAACUGAGGAGAAGGGGAUCAAUAGACAGAGGAAAAUAUUUUGCUGGCAAAUACUCUUGCAACAGCUGACAUUAUGGAAUUGAAUAUAUUCCUUUUCAGUUAAAUUCUGUUCCUGUCUGUUGCAGAUCUGAUCUGGAUAGCUAAAGAAUCUUCUCAAUAGUGAGGGAUGUGAAUCAGAAGGCUGAAAUCUGGCAAGAUUAGCUCUCCUACCCUUCCAGCCAAUAGGAACUCUUGAUGAUGAAUGUCUGACUAGCAAAAUAAAAUGAAAGAAAAGAGGGAACAAUCAGAGGUACUCCUGGUUCAUAUCACCCUUUCAACAUGAGCAACAUAUAAAUAUGGGAGGGGGGAUUGUUUUGUUUUUAGUACUUGGACAAGACAUCCUGUUACCCAAAAUAGAAGACACUCUUAUCAGAAACCUUUAUGAAUAGAAGGAAAUGGAGGAACCUCUUUUGCUGAUUUCUCUUCAACUUGUUCCACUUCCCCCUAAACUAACUUCCUGUUGAGGAGUCUUGUGAAACACCAUAGAAUAUGAAUGGAGUAUGGACACUAGAGAAAACAAAGAGGAUUAGAAAACUGAUGUCCUUCCUGCUUCUAUUCAUGGAGACCUUUCUUGAAAAAUCUGCCAGGAAUAGAAGAACAAUCCUAACCCAAGAACCAGAGAAUGUGGAGUCCUGGAUUUUUUUUCAGUGCCCACUGCAUUGACACAUUAAAUAAUGAUGAAUAGUGUUACAAAGUCAUGAUUUAUACAUUCAAAAAGGUAAGACCUUAUACAUAAUCAAAUGGAGAUAAAUACAGAUAUGCUGCUGUAAGAAAACUGUUCACAAGAUGUCUAUGGAGAUUCUUACUCAUCCAGGUCAUGGUUGUCUCCAAAGUUCUUUUUUUUCAAGAGGCAAUUGGGCUUUCUUGUUUUUCUUUGAAGAUGUUUUGCUUCUCAUCCAAGAAGCUUCUUCAGCUCUGACUGGAUGUUGGGGAAUGGUAGGAUUUAUAUUUAUAUUACAUCCAGUCAGAGCUGAAGAAGCUUCUUGGAUGAGAAGCAAAACGUCUUCAAAGAAAAACAAGA